AGCUAAGCCCCCAGCCAAGCUGCUUUCCUUGUUUCUUUUUCAACUAAUGCUAAGAGUCAGAGAAAACCCCUUCCUCACUAUGAGCAAGCAGGCAGUCUGCUGGGUAGCCCUUUGCCUCCUUGCAGCAGAAACCACCCAUGGUGCCAUCACUCAGACACCCAGGUUCCUGAUCGGACGGCAAGGGCAGAGUCUGACCUUGGGAUGUCAACAGGAUUUCAAUCAUGACACCAUGUACUGGUACCGACAGGAUCCAGGCACAGGACCGAGAUUGAUCUACUAUUCAAUAACUGAAAAAGAUGUCCAGAAAGGGGACCUCUCUGAAGGCUACAGUGUCUCUCGAGAGAAGAAACUACUGUUCCCUCUCACUGUGACAUCUGCCCAGAAGAACCAUAUGGCUGUCUACCUCUGUGCCAGCAGCAUAGCACAGUGA